GACGAACGCUGGCGGCGUGCCUAACACAUGCAAGUCAACUUGAAGGAAGGAGCAAUCUGACCUGAUGGUGGCGCAAGGGUGCGUAACGCGUAAGUAACUUGCCCCAAGGUAAGGAAUAACGUCGAGAAAUCGGCGCUAAUACCUCAUAAUGCAGCGGAUCCGCAUGGAUAUGUUGUUAAAGGUUUACCGCCUUGGGAUAGGCUUGCGUCUGAUUAGCUAGUUGGUGUGGUAAUGGCACACCAAGGCUACGAUCAGUAACUGGUCUGAGAGGAUGAUCAGUCACACUGGAACUGAGACACGGUCCAGACUCCUACGGGAGGCAGCAGUGAGGAAUAUUGGGCAAUGCACGAAAGUGUGACCCAGCAAACGCCGCGUGGAGGAUGAAGGCCUUCGGUUGUAACUGCUUUGUACGGAACGAAACGGU
rnacentral:rRNA from 1 species